rnacentral:tRNA from 1 species
GGAGNUGUAGCUCAGCAGUUAAGAGCACUGUCUGUUCCUCCAGAGAACCUAGGUUCAAUUCCCAGCACCCACA